GCAAAACACCUGGAGGGCCCAAGUUGGCCCAUGCCUGCCCUAGAAUAAAACAAAACAGAAAUAAAUAACUUCUGGAUACUCCCUGCUGAAGCCAAACUCUCCAAAUAGGACGACUCUUCCAGCCUCUGCACCCAUUAUUUUGAUCUCUAGCCAUUCUAGGCUUUGGGACUUCAACUCCCAGAAGCCUCCGCCGCCUUGGCCAACGACGAGGCAUUCUGGGAGCCGAAGUCCAAAAGCGGCCGCUUGAAAAAGGAGAACGCCGCUGCCAUCUUUGCUGAGGGCACAGUGCAGCGCCGCCAUCUUUGCUGAGGGCAACUUGACGCCAUUUCUCACGCUUUGCCUAUAAAGGCUGUUCUUUUCGGGAUGUGGGCGCGGACCUUCAUUUGCAUGCCGCUGCGGGAUAGGCUGAGAGGAAGGCGGGAAGACACAAGCCCCGCCCCAAGAGCUUAUAAAUAUAUCCCGCAAAAGCCUGCUUUCUCAUUCUGAGGCAGAUCAGUCCGGGCGCCAUCUUGAGUCUUAUCUUUCUAUGAUUUGCAUUUAAUUCAAGGAUUUCACACACCAAAAAAAGCAUUUGUUUGUAUUUAGAUCUACCUGUGUGAAUAAUUUUGACAUUCCUCAAAGGGAAAAUGACUAGUUUAGAGUAGGCCUGGGCCAACUUGGGCCGCCCAGGUGUUUUGGACUUCAUCUCCCACAAUUCCUAACAGCCAGUAGGCCCAAGCCUGGCUUAGAGCUAUUUCAUGUUAGCAUUGCAACGUGCGAAAAGAGAAAUGGUUAAUUUCCUGGACGAUGGAGGAGGAGAAGUAUUGGAGAUGCCUUGUGCGGAUGGCUUCUGGAAGACCUCAAGACAGACCUUCUUCGGGUUCUUUUGUGCAGCUUGUUGUGGAGGGAAGGUAAGAAACGCCAGGCGAUGGCGCUCAGUAGUCCGGCCCUUCUUUCUUCAGUUUGCUGUAGUCGGUGGACACAGCAAAGAACUAGGGAAAGGGGAGAAAAGGCAGGAUUUGCAUUUGCACAAGAAAAGGUAAACAGCAAAGGAUGGGCUAGAUUACAGGCAUGGGCAAACUGGGGCCCUCCUUCCAGGUGUUUUGGACUUCAACUCCCACUAUUCCUAACAGCCUCAUUAUACUCAUUAUAAUAACUCCACAUUAGAAAAAACAAUAAAUGUAAACAUGACACUCAGUAAAAACAUUAUUGCACAGAGCGAGCGUAUACCUGGACCGAUUAAAUGACCAAGUUGCUGAAAAUGUUCAGUAUUUGUUCUAGUUUCACUUAGACCAUAGCUGCUAUGGGGUGGCAGUUAUGUUAAUCCUCCUCCCCUCUGUACGCUAAGGUGCAUAGAUGUGGCUUUAACAGUUUCUUAAAGGCGAGGAGGGUGGGGGCAUUUUUAUUUCUUUAGGGAGGGAGUUCCAGAGGCUGGGGGCGAUCACGGAGAAGGCCCCUCUCUUGUUCCCACCAGCCACACUUGUGACGGGAGUGGGACUGAGAGCAGGGCCUCCUCAUCUGGAAUUUUAUCUUCAGAUUUAGAAUAGACUUGGGGGAAUACGAUGCUACAACUCCCCAAAGUACCAUAUUUCCUCGAGUCUCAACGGGCCAUUGGAUCUAAUGUGUGCCUUAAUUAUCAAAACCCUGAAACCAAAACAAGUAUUUGCUGCUGAAUGUCGUGCACUGCGGCUAAAGUAAACCCGUUGUAAUUUGGCCAUGAGACUUGCUGCCUUUGUAGAAUUUCUUCUUUGAAAACAAUUUUUUUAGAGCUGGCAUUGGCAAACUUGGGCCCUCACUCCAAGUGUUUUAGAUCUAUAUAAUAGCAUUAGAAACACAAAUCCCUGUGAAUAAUAAUAAUAAUACUGUAAUAAUAAUAAUAAAAAACUUUAUUCAUAACCCACUUCCAUCUUCCCAAGGGGACUCGGAGCAGUUCACAUGGGGACAAAGCCCAAUCAACAGAUAAAACAAUACAACAACAGCAUAUAUAAUUAAACCAAUAACAAUAAAAUAGCAUUCAUAAAAUAAAUCAGCAAGGAUCAGGACUAAACAGUGGGGCUAUUAAGAAAUUAAAAGGGAAGGCAAGCACGUACAAAAAUGCAAGACAAUUGACUUCAAAACGCAAGGCAAUGAGAUUCAGGAACAGGGUAAAGAGCUGAGGGUUACGGCAGUAAAUAGUUAAGACUGGAUGGUGAUAAAAACGGACAAUACAAAUUGUAUUGUAUUUGGUUUUGUGUAUUCUACUGUAAGCUGCUUCGAGUCUCUUUUUGAGAGAGAAAAAGCAAGGUACAAAUAAUAAUAAUAAUAAUACCACCUCUUUGAUAUAAUCCAUCUGAUCCCUGCAUCCCUAUUUGCAAUUUGUAGUAAAGUGAUGGCAGAGGGUUUUAUUUUAACAAACUGCUAAAUUACCUAACUGAACUCCUAAUGUUUAUUUUGGAGUUGAUACAAAAGGCAAAGGCAUCUGGCUUUAUUUAGAUCUCCCGUCACUCCUAUUUCUUGAGUUUACAUUAGCUCCGUGCUUUUCUAGCAAACAGAGCCAGGCAUCAGCUUUUAAACAAGUCCAAAUAAGGGAGAAAUGCUCCUUUUGGCAAAAAAAGCGAUGAUGCCUUAAAUACUGCAGCAGGGGAAGAGGGGCCUGCACUUAUAGCAAGCCACAAGUCAAUUCUGCAUUAUGGGGGAAGUGGUGCCUAAAACAAGAAAAAACCGAGGCAGAAUAAAGCAUAUUACUAUUAUUAUUAUUAUUAUUAUUAUUAUUAUUAUUACCUGCUUUAUCUCUCCUGCAGGAGACUCAAACUCCAUGGCAUUUCCUAAAGUUCCUAAAUUUGUAUUCCUACAGUUUCUUCGUAAACACACCUUCUGGCUCUCUCGGAAAUUGUAUAUCAUUGUUUCAUUAUAAAGAAAGGACAAUUAAACAUUCAAAUUAUUUUGUAGCAAGCUGUUUUGUGGAUCACCAAAAAAAUAUCUGGAAGAUGUCAUUGAAUAGUGACUGAUGUAAAAAUAUUAUUAUCUGAAAGCUAUUUUAAACUCUUUGGUUCCUGCUCACUUUAAGUUCAUAUAUGUCACUUUUUCAAAGGGUUCUUGUCCUCACUCAUGUUUUCUUCCACACAAGAUGCAUUGUAUCAUUAUAUUAUUAAUGUUUGUUUGUUUGUUUGUUUGUGCUUUUCUCUCUGGCUUGAGACUCAAAGCAGGU
rnacentral:lncRNA from 11 species